CGCCAGGAGAGGCGAGGAGCAGCAUCACCAGAGUCAGGUCCCGAGAGACAGAGGUGAGGGCCAUGUUGCUCCUGCCUGAACUGCAACCGCUGCAGCAAAGCGGUGCAGGAUCUGCAGCAGCUGGUGCUAUCGGUGCUGCCGGAGCACGUGGCCACUCCAGGUGCUGAAUUCUGGGCUUGAGGGACCUGGAGGAGCUGGUGCAGCAGGGCAGCCUGUCCUGCUGCAGCUCUGCCAAUGACCAGAGCGAGGAGCAGCGUGGAGCAUCAGCUUGCGAGUCAAGUGCUGAGGGACAGACACGUGGGCCACGGUGCUCCUGCUCCAGCUGCAACCGCAGCAGCAAAGCGGUGCAGGAGCUGCAGCAGCUGGUGCUGUCGGGGCUGCCUGAGCACGUGGCCGCUCUAAGCCCUGAAUUCUGGGUGGUGGCCUGGACGGACCUGUUGGAGAGAGUGGAGUGGGGCAUCCUGUGCUGCUGCAUCUGCCCCGUACCAGAGAAAGGAGCGACGUGGAGCAGCAGUCCUGGAGUCAGGUGCUGACAGACAGAUGUCUGGGCCAUGGUGCUGCUGCCCCAGCUGCAACUGCUGUAGCAAAGCUGUGCAGCAGCUGUAGCUGGUGCUAUUGAGGCUGCCUGAGCACCUGGCCACUCUGGGCCCUGAGUUCUGGAUGCGGCCUGGCGGGACAUGGCAGAGCUGGUGAAGCAGGGCAA